rnacentral:lncRNA from 1 species
AAAAACUUGAGUUUAAAAUUUUCUUUCUGCACAUUUUUUUUCAGUAACAUAGAAUCUAACAAUCUCACCUAACAAUCUCACAGUUCCAAUAUUCUAUUUCCAUCAAGUGCCGUUUGGCAUUAAAAAGCUUUAUUGACACUUAAUUCCAGGUGACCGCCAGUGACAGUUCAAGUAACAGCAUUUUAUAGGCUAUCAGUGCAUUUGCUACUAGUCUUAAAGUCAUGCAUGUCUCCAAAUCUAGUCCAAUAUGAGAACCAGUCCAGAUCUGUAUCUCUAAGUUUCUGUGGGCCACAACCCACUUCUGAUAUUAGUCAUUCAAUCAACCAGAAGUCAGUCACAGAAGCAGACUAUAGGUGCUAUGAGAUAAGAGAAUAGGAAUUGGCUUCAUAUAGUUUUGAGAGGAGGUGGGGAAAUCAAAGUCCAGAAAGCAGAGUUGAGGGACCAGAGUUGGGAGGAAUCCGUUUUGUUUUUGUUUUUUUUUUUAAAUAUUGGUGUGAAGAGUUAAGUCAGAGUUUGAAACAAACAAACAAACAAACAAAAAAGCAUGAGUGGAUGAUGUAUAAGGAACUUCAUGGGAAGCUCUGAAUUCCUAGGUUAACUACAGCCUCUAUGCAUCUGCACCUGGGCAUCUGGUACUGGAUGGCUCUGUGCUGCUAAACUAAGAGCUCUCAGAGAAUCUGAACCUAUGUGACCACUGCAAUGAGAUUACAAAUGCAACACAGCUCUUGCCUAAAUCAUUCUUAAUCCACUUGUCCUCAUAAACCCAGAUUUCAUGACAUAAGGAAGCCCAGACAAUAUGAAAAUUAACUGAAGUUCUAGGUCCUCUGGACCAACUGAGAGCCCAGUCAGAAGACAGCUCCAACUUGCCAGCCAGUCAUGUGAUAUAUUCCUUCUGGAAACAGACUCAACAACUUCAGUCAAGCCUGUAGCUGAUAAUCGGGUAGAAAAGCAAUGAGCUUUCCUCAUCAAGUCAAGUCCAAAUUAUAGAUUUAUGAGCAAAAUAUAGGUUGAUUAUUGUUUUAAGCCAAUCAUCAACAAACUUUUUUUUGUAAAGAACAAAAUAGCAAACAUUUUAAGCUAUGAAGGCCACAGUGGUCUUUAUUACAUGUUCCUUUUUAAAAAAUAUAUAUAGUUUAAAAAUAAUAAUUUUCAGAAAUUUUCUGUUUUAUUAGCUGCAUAAGAAUAGGCUAUGGACUACAUUUGUCUUAUAAGAAAUAGUUUACUAUUCCCUAUUUUGGGCCACUAAAUUUUAUGAUGAUUUGUGACACAGCAAUAAAUCAAAAUGAUCAGUUAAAUAAAUUGCACAAAGCUGAAUUUGCAAAAUUAAGAGGAAAAGAAAAAACAAAAAAGUACAUAUGCAUAUAUGCUUGUGUGUGUGUUGUAUGUAUGUGUAUAAACUCAGACACAAAGCGAGCUUCAGCAGAAUUUUAAUGAUGACUUUGUUGACGAAGCAUAGAAGAUCAAAGACCAAACAUGAGUACAACAUCAAUUUACAAAAAAUCCUCAUUAAAAAAUAUCUUAUUCUAGGGAAGAGAGCAAAUAUUGAAACCCUGGU